GGACUACAAGGGUUUCUAAUCCUGUUUGCUCCCCACGCUUUCGCACCUCAGCGUCAGUAUCGGCCCAGGUCUCCGCCUUCGCCACUGGUGUUCCUCCCGAUAUCUACGAAUUUCACCUCUACACCGGGAAUUCCGAGACCCUCUUCCGUACUCAAGCUGGCCAGUUUCGGAUGCCCUUCCUCGGUUGAGCCGAGGGCUUUCACAUCCGACUUAACCAACCGCCUACGUGCGCUUUACGCCCAAUGAUUCCGAGCAACGUUUGCACCCUCCGUAUUACCGCGGCUGCUGGCAC
rnacentral:rRNA from 1 species